UGGGGAAUCUUGCACAAUGGGGGCAACCCUGAUGCAGCGACGCCGCGUGAGCGAUGAAGCCCUUCGGGGCGUAAAGCUCUUUCGACCGGAACGAUAAUGACGGUACCGGGAGAAGAAGCUGCGGCUAACUACGUGCCAGCAGCCGCGGUAAUACGUAGGCAGCAAGCGUUGUUCGGAGUUACUGGGCGUAAAGAGUGCGUAGGCGGUUUUCUAAGUUCGGUGUGAAAUCUCCCGGCUUAACUGGGAGGGUGCGCCGAAGACUGGGAAGCUGGAGUGUGGGAAAGGCAGGCGGAAUUCCUGGAGUAGCGGUGAAAUGCGUAGAUAUCAGGAGGAACACCGGCGGUGUAGACGGCUUGCUAGACCAUAACUGACGCUGAGGCACGAAAGCGUGGGUAGCAAACA
rnacentral:rRNA from 1 species